rnacentral:lncRNA from 1 species
GUUGACAGAUGGAUGCCUUCUUAAUCACAGCCUGUGACACCCACAUGACUAGGAGGAGGCAGAAAGUGAAUAGGGAGCUCUUAUUACUUUUUGAGUGUCAGCAAGUUAAGACAUCAUCUCCAGAAAACUGUGCUAGUUGGCAUCCAGCAGUGCCCAAGUAUUAUUUAACCCACUAGAACCUGUGACUGCAUCAGCUUUAUAUCCUGGACCUCAGCCUGGAACAAAGGAGAGCUACACUUGGAUACUAAACACAAGUGGUCUGGAUAGAUUAUGCUGGGAAAAGAAGCCUGGAGCAGGCAGUACAGUGGGAGAACAAGACAGAAGUGCUUGCCUUGGUGAUCCAAAAAAGGCAGGAUCCGGCCGGGGGCAAGGUGAUUAUUCUGUCUGAUGAGGAGAAUAAGAGCCAGUUUGUGGUAUUGACAGAAGAAUGAAAGUAAAGUUCAACCAAUCUACAAAGGCCAAAAAUAUUUUCACAGGCCCCCAAAAGAUGAACUCCAAUCUGCUGCCCCUAAACGCAUUCUCCACUGUCUGGAAGAUGUGCAAAGGCAACGGCACAGCGUUCUCCAUCUCAAAUCCUUCAAAGUGCUGUCAGAAUAAAAGAAUCCCCACCAAAAGCCCCAGGGAAAUCUAUCUGUCUGUAUGGUAUGGUAAUGACUGAGGUUAUUCCAGAUAGGAUUCUGGGAGAAACUCAGCUAUUGAAAUCUAAUGAAUGGAACUGAGAAUUUCUUGUUAUAAUACUGUUUGUUUGAUUGAAUAUAUCCUUGCAUAUAGGAAGACAUAAAAAUAAAUAAUAAAAGCAAGAUAUUA